rnacentral:lncRNA from 1 species
AUAAUGCUCACAUGGGAUCCACCCACUCACAAGAUGCCUAAUGGGACCCAUCCACUAAGAAGAUGCUCAAUGGGGCCCACAUAUCACAAGGUGCUCAAUGGGGCCCAUCCACUAGCAAGAUGCCCAAUGGGGCCCACUUCCCACUCUCAAUUUGCCUAUAUAAGGAGGCAUUUGUAAUGAAAGAAAGAAGCCUUCCACAACGUUCAAGCCUUGCAUAAGAGCUUUCAACAACGUUCAGAAGCAAACUCUCAGCCUUCUCCCUUUACUGAUAUUGUAAUUUUCCAUUUUCUUUUGCAACCUUUCCCUUUUCUUUUCAACUUGUAAUCUUUUGGUGUGCUUAGUAUCUACCUGAAACUUUAUUCAGGGGGUACAUAUAUGUGAAUUAAGCUCAAGUAUCUGUAAGUUUUUAUUUCUUGUUUUUAAAUUUUGUUUUUAAAUUUUAUGUGAAUAAAGUUUCAGUUUCUUCUUCUGUUUUCUUGUUUUGUUUUCUUGUUUUUAAUUCUCUAUUUUCUGUUCUUUAAUUUAUGUUUUAGAUUUCUGUAAUUUUCGCUGUUUUGUCUUAGUUUAUUAAUUCUAUUUAUAAUCCUGGUUUAAAAUUGGUAUUAGAGCCAUGUCAGCGUAAAUUAUAUAUAUUUCAAACCUAGUACUGGGUUUAUGUAACACACUGUUAGGAAGAAAAUGGUAGGUAGUACUUGUAAACAAUGCAGUAUAGUGUUUGAAAGCAUAAGUGCAAUUACUUGUGUACAGUAGUUUUGGGAUACACUGAAUAGAAUCAAAGUAUGACUUAUGCAAUUGUUUUGGAAAUGUACCUCUACUCAAGCCAACAAAAUCAAGUAUAUAUAUAUAUAUAUAUCCCUUUAUCGGUUAGGCCUAACAAUUCGUCUUCUCUCUGCACAACAAAAGACAUUUGUCAGUUCAUAUUAACUUAACAACAAUGACAACUAAAUUUAUGCAAAUGCAUCAAGGAAUAAUAAAUCUGGUCAAUGCUAAACAUUGUCAGUAGGAGUGACCAUCUAAACUACAACCUUACUUAAAAAAUAGCUUCACCAGGUGAAAAAAAAGGUACAAACAAGCAACAUGUUGCACAACUUGAGAAUUUAGGUUCAUAUUCUAUUAUAAGCAAUGUACCUAAACAAUUUGAUCUAAUUGAACCCUAUAAUGUCUGUCAUCAUUUAUAAAAUCCAUCAACAAAGAUCCAAUACUAAAUGUCUGACUAGGUAUGUAAGUUUUCUUGAAAUUAAUGCAAUGAUACAUUUUAUGAAAAAAAAAUUAACUUAUAUGGCCUUCUCUCAAUGUCGCCCCAAACCCCCAACUUAUCAAUCCGGAAGCACUUCCCGUUUCCGCUCACAUUAAAUGAUAAAAGGAUGAUUAUCAUGUAGGAUUCCAUCUCAUGGAAUCCUCCUCCUCCUCAUGUCAUUAAAUUUUGGGCUAUUUUGUAUUUAGUCCCCCUAGAAGAUUGUUAAUUAGCAAAUGGUCCCGAGUUUUUCGUUUAUUUGUAAAUAAUUCUUUUUUCUGUCAAUUGACUCUUAGUCAACUCAGUUGACCAAAGUCAACCCAUCCAAUUUUUUUUAAUGUCUAAACUACCCAUGCACGUGUUUUCCACGUGACACUACUUAAACCAUUAAACCAUUUUUUGGUUUUGUAUUAUCCACGUGUCGAGAUUUCAUUGGUUAUCAGAAUCUAUGGUUAGAUAUUACGCCACGUGUUUCAUACAGUAGUCGAGGAUCUGGAUUCAAUCAAAACAUAUUCUAAAAGGACUAAGUCCCAAAACCCUAAGUUUCUUUCUCUUCUACCUUACACUAAACAGCCACCGCCACCGUUGCUUUCAACCACCACCUUUAACCUUAUUCCACCACCACCACCUUUAACCUUAUUCCACCAUUAUCAACUCUUCUUUCUCCAUCGUUCAUUAAUUCCAUUCACAAUCCCCUCUGUAAUACCAGCUUUCCCAACAUUCAAUUUCGUCUUCAACGCAAUCCCAAGUGUAGUCAACCUCUUCAACUCCGUCCUUGAAAGUUUCAAUUCAACUAAAGUUGGUACUCUUGGUUCUUUCUUAACCAACUUCUUCUCCUCCUCCUUAACUUCUUUCUUCCUCGAUAUCGAAACCCCAGAACCCAGUUCAGGUACUGGAUUUUGUGGUGUACUCCAACUUGAAUCGAUAGUAUAACCAACACGAUUUUUCGAUAAUUGUUCAGGAAAUGGAAGAAAAAUUUCACCAGCAGAGUUAUUAUUAGUAUUACUGGUUUGGGUUUGUUCAGAAUUUUUCUGUUCUUCAAUGUAACCAAGACUUCUAAGCUUAUCUGCAAUUCUUUUAAUGGCAGUUUGGCUUCAGUUUGGUUGUUAUUUGUAGUAGAAGAGCUAUUAAUAAUAAAUUUAAAGGGUUUAAGGGUUUGGGGAUAGAGAUUUGGUGAUGGGAAGAAGAGAGGGAAAUGGGUUUUGUUGGAAAAUGAAGAGAGUGAUGUGGGGUGUGGAAGAAACAUUUGAAUUGAUAGAGAAAUGCUUGGAAAUGGCAAUCUCUCUCUAUCUCUAUCUCUAUCUCUCUCUGUUUCUACUUCAUGUGUGAGGCUCUUUUGUUGGGGUUUAUGGUUGUGGAUGAGAUUUAAAAUUGGGCUUUGUAGGAUUUCAUUUUCUGUCAACUUUGUUACUACAUGAUGAAGCCAUGAAGAAUUGAUGAUGGAAUUCAUGAACGAUGGAGAAAGAAGAGUUGAUAAUGGUGGAAUAAGGUUAAAGGUGGUGGUGGUGGAAUAAGGUUAAAGGUGGUGGUUGAAAGCGGCGGUGGCGGAAUAAGGUUAAAGGUGGUGGUGGUGGAAUAAGGUUAAAGGUGGUGGUGGAAUAAGGUUUAAGUAGUGUCACGUGGAAAACACGUGCAUGGGUAGUUUAGACAUUAAAAAAAAUUGGAUGGGUUGACUUUGGUCAACUGAGUUGACUAACAGUCAAUUGACAGAAAAAGGAUUAUUUACAAAUAAACGAAAAACUCGGGACCAUUUGCUAAUUAGCAAUCUUCUAGGGGGACUAAAUACAAAAUAGCCCUUAAAUUUUCAAGUUCUUGUACUUCCCAUUCAUAUAACCAGUCUAUCAUCUUCAAGUUCCACCCAUGAUUUUCUGUAGUGGAAUUCCAGAUACUGCUACACCCCCAUGCUUAUCUAUUGCCCUCAAAUAGAUGCCAGGGAAAGCCUCUCUUAAAGUAACUUCACCACACCACUUAUCUGCCCAAAAUUUGAUUCUGGUUCCUUUCCCUAAAUUAAAAGCUGCACAUUAUAUUCUACAAGUUUUUGUUCUACUGCAUAACUCUGCUUUACAUCUUUAGUAAACCAAUUAUAGUUGUCGACUCGUUGUUCCAUACUUUGCUUGAAUCACCUGCUUCCAUAGUUUGUCCUUAGUUUUCUUCUCCAUAUAUCUGUAGCCAUCCUAGCUACCUAAUAAUGCUUCAUUCAUCUCCUUCAGUUUGGAUUUGGGGAAGAGAAGAGAAAAGGUUUUUAUUAUAGAGAAGAUGAGAGGCAGCGGAUGAGUUUUUAUUAAAGAGAAGAGAGUUUAUAUAUGAACACUUUAACCGAUUGAAAUUGCAACGCUGCACGUGUUAAAACCAUGCCACGUUACCUUUUCUUUUUCAGUUACCUAAAAUUUUUGCAACGAUAACUGGGGUUUCAAGUAUAAUAGUAACGCGUAAGAAAAUAAUAUAUUUAUAUUUUCAGUGUUUUGGACCCAAGGACAAAAUAUAAGGUUUUAUUAGGCCCAAGGACAGCAACAACGUUUCAUUAGACUCAAGGACAAAUCUAUUUAAUGAUGAAUAUAUCCCUGUUGGUGUUUUAACAACUACAAAAAAAUCUAACAACGUGGGACGGGUUUUUUUUUUUUUAUUUUCAAAUAAAACCCUAAUUUCUUUCUUUCUCUCUCUCUUUCUCUAUCUCAUCUCUACUGCAAAAACAACAAUUACGACUUGAUUUCUUAGGUUUUUCUUCAAUUUUUUAAGAUUUUCUUCAUUAAAAGUCUGAUUUUCUUUAGAAUUGAACAAAAAUCUAGGUUUUUGAAAGCCAAAACACCUAGAUCUACAAUGGUAAGAAAAAAAAACAAGUCCCAAAAAGUACAAAUCAUCAUGGAACAAAGAGAAACGAAAGGAUGAUAAUACAACACAAGAACAAAAAACUUUUGAUUUUGAAGAAGAAAUUUCUGAUUUUGAGGUAAGUCAGGUUUUAGAAUUAUAAUUUUAAUGUAAAUUUUUUUCUUGAAUAACUUCUACAUCACAUGUUCUUGCAUAAUUACUUCACAAUUUCUAAUUUUUUAUGUAAAUUUUCUUUGAUGUUAAAUUCAAUUUCAGUUUUAGUUGAUUAGUAAAUUUAAUCAACAUGUUCUUGCUUAAUUUUACUUCACGAUUAUUGGGUUUUUUUAUAUAAAUUGUAAAUUAUUUUUGAUGUUAAAUUAUAAUUGAUUAAAACAUUAAAUCAACUAUCAAACUGGUGUAAGCAAUUUAUAUCAUACUAUCUGUUGAUUGGUAUAUUAAUCAAUUAAUUAUAUGAUUUUAUCUUUUCUGUUUAGCUGAUUAAUAUAUUAAUCAACUAUAACUUUAGUUGAUUACUAUACUAAUCAACGCACGUAAUAGUUGAUUGAUGCAUUAAUCAACUAAUUAAUUGAUUUUAUCUUUUCUGUUCAGGUGAUUAAUGUAUUAAUCAACUAUAAUUAU